rnacentral:tRNA from 1 species
GAGGAUGUAGCUUAGUGGUAGAGUGUGUGCUUAGCAUGCAAGAGAUUCUGGGUUCAAUACCCCGUUAAUCCUCA